rnacentral:rRNA from 1 species
GACGAGCGCUGGCUGCUUGCUUAACACGUGCUAGUCGAGCGAGCAGCCCGAGCUUUGCUUAUGUGCAUUAAUGGCGAACGGGGGACUAAUACGUGAGUAACCUACCUUUAACUCUGGGAUAAGCCUGGGAAACUGGGUCUAAUACCGGAUACUACCAAUCUCCGCAUGGGGUGUUGGUGGAAAGCGUUAUGUAUUGGUUAUAGAUGGGCUCACGGCCUAUCAGCUUGUUGGUGAGGUAACGGCUCACCAAGGCGACGACGGGUAGCCGGCCUGAGAGGGUGACCGGCCACACUGGGACUGAGACACGGCCCAGACUCCUACGGGAGGCAGCAGUGGGGAAUAUUGCACAAUGGGCGCAAGCCUGAUGCAGCGACGCCGCGUGAGGGAUGACGGCCUUCGGGUUGUAAACCUCUGUUAGCAGGGAAGAAGAGAGAUUGACCGUACCUGCAGAGAAAGCGCCGGCUAACUACGUGCCAGCAGCCGCGGUAAUACGUAGGGCGCGAGCGUUGUCCGGAAUUAUUUGGGCGUAAAGAGCUUGUAGGCGGUUUGUCGCGUCUGCUGUGAAAGGCCGGAGCUUAACUCCGUGUAUUGCAGUGGGUACGGGCAGACUAGAGUGCAGUAGGGGAGACUGGAAUUCCUGGUGUAGCGGUGGAAUGCGCAGAUAUCAGGAGGAACACCGAUGGCGAAGGCAGGUCUCUGGGCUGUAACUGACGCUGAGAAGCGAAAGCAUGGGGAGCGAACAGGAUUAGAUACCCUGGUAGUCCAUGCCGUAAACGUUGGGCACUAGGUGUGGGGGACAUUCCACGUUUUCCGCGCCGUAGCUAACGCAUUAAGUGCCCCGCCUGGGGAGUACGGCCGCAAGGCUAAAACUCAAAGAAAUUGACGGGGGCCCGCACAAGCGGCGGAGCAUGCGGAUUAAUUCGAUGCAACGCGAAGAACCUUACCAAGGCUUGACAUAUACUGGACCGCAUCAGAGAUGGUGUUUCCCUUCGGGGCUGGUAUACAGGUGGUGCAUGGUUGUCGUCAGCUCGUGUCGUGAGAUGUUGGGUUAAGUCCCGCAACGAGCGCAACCCUCGUUCUAUGUUGCCAGCACGUAAUGGUGGGGACUCAUAGGAGACUGCCGGGGUCAACUCGGAGGAAGGUGGGGAUGACGUCAAAUCAUCAUGCCCCUUAUGUCUUGGGCUUCACGCAUGCUACAAUGGCCGGUACAGAGGGUUGCGAUACUGUGAGGUGGAGCUAAUCCCUAAAAGCCGGUCUCAGUUCGGAUUGGGGUCUGCAACUCGACCCCAUGAAGUCGGAGUCGCUAGUAAUCGCAGAUCAGCAACGCUGCGGUGAGUACGUUCCCGGGCCU